GCAUCUACAAAGAGAAGGUGUCCACCGGUGAGAGACCCAGAACUUCUCAGGGACAGUGCCCUGCCUUCCUGAACCUCAGGUCACCACAUCUGCUGCCCUGUCCCCAGCCCAGACUGGAAGUGCUCCGGAGGCUCUCUGGGCUCCUCCCUCAGGGUGAGGAGCCUGGCUCUGCAUUCCUCUGACGAGGCGGCCUGCUGAAGCUGGUGUAAGCUAGAAAUGCCUGCCUGGAGCUCUCGACUCAGCUGGGUGACUGAGGUCCCCUGGAGGAGUUCUGACUUCCUGCCUCCAACAAACCGGAACUAUGGGAGUCUAUAUGUGUCUAGGUAAGGGCAUAAAAGGAACUAAUGUCCAGGGCCAAUCCCAGAAGCGUCUCUGGGGCCACACCUGCUGUCCAUUUCCUCCAGGCCCAACCCACAGUAGGCGGAACCCCUCUUUCUCCAUCUUGGACUGAGGCUACCGGGGGAAACCCUGCAGUGACCCACAGAGAAGGCAAUAGAUGCCGUCCAGGUGGGGCUGGCAAGGGCAGCUGCCAGUCCUGAACCACUGCCCUGACCUUCCUGCCUUGCUCCUCCUGUGCUGAAACCCUCCACAGACAGAGAGUACAGAGUCCAGCCCCCAGCGCCACACCCUCCUUCCUGGACUGUUCGCUGACCUGUGUAUGCUCCGCCUCUAGUAACCUAUGGAAGCUGGCAUCGUCCCCAACAACAGUAACGCAGCGGGCAAGGCUGAGGUCCCCGUUGCCAAAGUUGACACAUUUCCUCUGGCUCCGAACACUCCAAGGAAGAUACAAGCCUUCCCGGUGAAUCAUGGGUUCCGCUGCCCACACAUCGGCUCCCCUGCCCUGCACCCAUGCCGGGAUCCUGCGUCUGCCGUCACUGGGCCAGGAUGGGCGGGGUCCUGCUUUGACUCGUUUUUUUUCCCUAUUCUAUUUUUAUGGUGCUACAGACAGAACCUAGAGCCCCGUGCAUAGUCAACUUCACAGGUACCACUAGGGCACAGCCUUGUUUGUUCUUUUUCUUGUGUGUACACCCACAUGUGUGUGGUGUACAUGGGCUGUAUGUGCACACGUAUGCUGUGCUCAUGCUGAGCCUGUGUGGAGGUUGGAAGUCAGUGUCUGGUAUGUUCUUGAUCAUGUUCCACUUGGUUUCUGUAGAUGGCCGUUUUACCUAUUUUUAAAGAUUUGUUUCUUUA